rnacentral:rRNA from 1 species
CAGUCGCCGCGGGAAUACGAAGGGGGCUAGCGUUGUUCGGAUUUACUGGGCGUAAAGGGCGCGUAGGCGGACUGAUAAGUCAGGGGUGAAAUCCCAAGGCUCAACCUUGGAACUGCCUUUGAUACUGUUUGUCUUGAGUUCGAGAGAGGUAAGUGGAACUGCGAGUGUAGAGGUGAAAUUCGUAGAUAUUCGCAAGAACACCGGUGGCGAAGGCGGCUCACUGGCCCGGAACUGACGCUGAGGCACGAAAGCGUGGGGAGCAAACAGGAUUAGAUACCCGCGUAGUCCCUGUCUCUUAUAC